AGAGUUUGAUUUUGGCUCAGGAUGAACGCUGGCGGCGUGCCUAAUACAUGCAAGUCGAACGCUUCACAUUAGUGAAGAGUGGCGAACGGGUGAGUAAGACAUAAGUAACCUAUUCUUUACUGGGGGACAACUGCUGGAAACGGCAGCUAAUACCGCAUGGAUAUAACCACCGCAUGGAGGAUAUAUGAAAGCAGCCAAGGCUGCGGUAGAGGAUGGACUUAUGGCGCAUUAGCUGGUUGGUGAGGUAGAGGCUCACCAAGGCGACGAUGCGUAGCCGACCUGAGAGGGUGACCGGACACACUGGGACUGAGACACGGCCCAGACUCCUACGGGAGGCAGCAGUAGGGAAUUUUCGGCAAUGGGCGAAAGCCUGACCGAGCAACGCCGCGUGAAGGAAGAAGGAAUUCGUUCUGUAAACUUCUGUCAUAGAGGAAGAACGGUAUGUGUAGGGAAUGACACAUAAGUGACGGUACUCUAUAAGAAAGCCACGGCUAACUACGUGCCAGCAGCCGCGGUAAUACGUAGGUGGCGAGCGUUAUCCGGAAUUAUUGGGCGUAAAGAGGGAGCAGGCGGCACUAAGGGUCUGUGGUGAAAGCCCGAAGCUUAACUUCGGUAAGCCAUGGAAACCGUAGAGCUAGAGUGUGUGAGAGGAUCGUGGAAUUCCAUGUGUAGCGGUGAAAUGCGUAGAUAUAUGGAGGAACACCAGUGGCGAAGGCGACGAUCUGGCGCACAACUGACGCUCAGUCCCGAAAGCGUGGGGAGCAAAUAGGAUUAGAUACCCUAGUAGUCCACGCCGUAAAC
rnacentral:rRNA from 1 species